ACAAGUACCGUGAGGGAAAGUUGAAAAGCACUUUGAAAAGAGAGUGCAAGAGAACGUGAAACCGACAUAAUGGAAGCAGAUGGAGCUGACGUAUCUGGCACGUAUUCAGUCGUCUGCCGUUAGCAAUCGCUGGGCUUCAUUCCGCAAGGUUGAAGUCGGGUGUUGUUGUUGCGGUCAGGUGAUGCAGUUGCGUGCGGAGUGCGCCGAGUGGGUCGACUUCGCUGUUGGAAGCGGGCGUAGAGGACUUGGGCUUCGGCUCGUGAACCCUGUGCUCGUGGACAAUGGGUGAGGUUGGCUCUUUCUGGAAUUGCAGGUGUUUUCGCGAUUGACGGCUAUCGUGCGGAUGGCUUGCGUUUGGCACAUGUGUCCGAUGCUUGUUGUUCGUGCGGCGGCAGUUUGUUGCACUGCAUUCAUCCCGGUGUACAGUCGGUCACCCAUUUGACCCGUCUUGAAACACGGACCAAGGAGUUUAAGGUGUACGCAAGUCAUUGGGUAUGUAGAAACCCAAAGGCGUAAUGAAAGUGAGAUGCAUAGUGUUGACGAUGUGAACGGCGGGCGUUUCGACGUUCACCGUGCAACAUCGCCCCGUGAUGAGGACUUGUCCUGUUGCGGAGGUUGAGCGUACGCUUUGAGACCCGAAAGAUGGUGAACUAUGCCUGAACAGGAUGAAGCCAGAGGAAACUCUGGUGGAAGUCCGAAGCGGUUCUGACGUGCAAAUCGAUCGUCUGAUUUGGGUAUAGGGGCGCAAGACUAAUCGAACCAUCUAGUAGCUGGUUCCUUCCGA
rnacentral:rRNA from 1 species